rnacentral:snRNA from 1 species
GGAUGUGAGGGCGAUCUGGCUGCUACAUCUGUCACCCCAUUGAUCGCCAGGGUGGAUUCGGCUGAUCUGGCUGGCUAGGCGGGUGUCCCCUCCUUCCCUCACCGCUCCAUGUGUGUCCCUCC